AACCGAGCGUGCGGCUGCCGCGCGUUAAGAAGGCGGCGUUGAUUCAUGACGCACGCUGAUGCGGCGUCUGAGCCGCGGUCCGGGUGACAGCGCGAGGGGAAGCGGCUCCGCACUAGCGGGGAAGAUCGGGGUCGGGAGCGGGGAAGUGAGAAAUGUCCGUGACAAAAGGAGGGGAAAGCCGGCACCGCAAAUUCCUGGUUUCAGGCCGACGUCACCCUGACCUCCCCGGGUCCCGGGGGGGUUUCCGAGCUUGGAGCGAGGCCUAUAAGACACAGGGGGCAGCGGCGGACGUCGCGCAUGUGCUCGCUUGAGGAUGCGGCUUGGACAGCUGUGAUGCGCAUCCGCGCUCCACUGUCUGUCUGCCCACGCAAGCCAGGGCUGAUUUCAUCUUCAUCUUGUAGCAGACAACCCCGGGGACCCCACGCCAACAAAGCACAUACGAAGGAUGGUCUCGUCAGCGGCAAGAUCUGCUUCCAUGGGUAGAUCCCACCAUCCAGCCGGGAGAGCUGGCGCAGCGAGCUCGCUGACGCUUCGUCUCUCUCCCUUCGCACCACUGCUCCUCACCCGACACACCGCGGGGCUCAUCCGCUUCGGGAGAAGACCGAAAGAGGUUGGUGCGAGCCGGCUGCAAUGUAACCUGCAGCCCCGCUGGCGUGGGGCACACGGCGGGAGGGGAGAGCAGCUCCGCUCUUCAGCUUCUCGUCGUGGUGUUUCAUGGUUGGGAGGAACCAAACUCCCGUAAAAACGCUGUCCCGGGUUUGCUCUGCUUUACACUUCUCAUGGGACAGAAAGUUUGGUAUUUCUGUAAAAUGCUUACUGUCUGUCUUAUCCAAAGCAACAAAAAUAAACACCAUGAAGUCUG